AUUGAACGCUGGCGGCAGGCCUAACACAUGCAAGUCGAGCGAGCGGCGGACGGGUGAGUAAUGUCUGGGACACUGCCUGGUGGAGGGGGAUCACUACUGGAAACGGUAGCUAAUACCGCAUACCAUCAGAUGUGCCCAGAUGGGAUUGGGUAGUAGGUGGGGUAACGGCUAACCUAGGCGACGGUCCCUAGCUGGUCUGAGAGGAUGACCAGCCACACUGUAACUGAGACACGGUCCAGGCUCCUACGGUAGUCAGCAGUGGGGAAUAUUGCACAAUGGGCGCAAGCCUGAUACAGCCAUGCCGCGUGUGUGAAGAAGGCCUUCGGGUUGUAAAGCACUUUCAGCGGGGAGGCGUUACCCGCAGAAGAAGCACCGGCUAACUCCGUGCCAGCAGCCGCGGUAAUUC
rnacentral:rRNA from 1 species